GUAGGCUUCCACAAGAAGAAAGGGAAAGCACUUUCCCGCCCAUUUCUCUGCACUUCACCCAUCAAUGGCUCCCAAAUCCGAUAGCGCAGAAGCGAUCGUGCUCAACUUCGUUAACGAGCAAAAUCGUCCACUAAACUCUCAAAAUGUUGCUGAUUCAUUACAAAAAUUCAACCUCAAGAAGACGGGGGUGCAAAAGGCACUGGAUGCCCUUGCCGAUAGUGGACGAAUUUCUUUCAAGGAGUAUGGCAAGCAGAAGAUAUAUCUCGCCCGGCAAGACCAAUUCAAGAUCCCAAACAGCGAGGAACUUACUCAAAUGAAGGAAGCAAACGCCAAACUGCAGCAACAUCUAGCCGAGCAAAAAAAGGCUAUUACCCAGGUGGAGGAAGAAAUUCGAACGUUGCAGUCAAACUUAACGCUGAAAGAAAUGCGGGAAAAGGAAGCUAUGCUGAGAAAGGAGGUUAAGGAAUUGGAAGAAAAAUUGGAAACAUUACGCGGAGGUGUUACGUUGGUGAGCCCAGAAGACCGCAAAGCAAUCGAGCAGAUUUACUCUGAGAAACUAGGCCAGUGGCGAAAGCGAAAAAGGAUGUUUAAAGAUAUAUGGGAUGUUAUCACUGAGAACUCACCUAAGAAUCUAAAAGAAUUUAAGGAAGAACUUGGCAUUGAGUACGAUGAAGAUGUGGGCGUGAAUUUGCAGUCAUUCAGCGACAUGUUACCACAAAAUCGAAAACGGCCCAGGGGAAAGUGAGUGAUAACAUAAAAUGGGGCGUCCAAGUAGAGCAAAUGCAGGUUUCACUUUCGAGGAAAAUAAGGAAUCGGUGUUCCAUGCCAGAGACAGGUUAGAUGAAGAGAAUACUAAGAUUACGAUUAUACCACCAUCGUCAAGUAGAUUAUGAGUUGAAGCACAAAUGCUUUAGUUUGGGUAGCUUGCUUCUAUCUGACACAUGUUAGAGGCUAAGACACUUCACCACUUGUCAAACAUGUAUGGGAUGUUUUUUUUAAUGCAAUAGAUGUGUUAAACACAUUAGUUGUACAAACAUAUAUGCUUGUUGAGUUUGAA